rnacentral:tRNA from 1 species
GGGGGCGUAGUGUAGCGGUUAACAUCCCGGCCUGUCACGCCGGUGAUCGCGGGUUCGAAUCCCGUCGCUCCCG